rnacentral:misc_RNA from 1 species
AACGCACCUUGCACUCUUUGGUAUUCCGAAGAGUACGCCUGUUCGAGUAUCUUGAAACUAUCAAGCCUCGGUCUUUUAUUAGGCCUUGGAUUGGAUUUGGACUUUACCGUCUCCUUUGAUGGAACGGUUGGUCUUAAAAGUAUUAGCUGAGCCUCGAUUUGUAGGAUUGGUUCUUACUCAACGUGAUAAUUUUACUGGAUCGUUGAGGACAUUUGCUUAAGUGCGAAUGGCCAAUUUUACCUUGGAUCGCUUCUAAUGGCACUCUGUGCAAAACUUUUCAACUUUGAUCUCGAAUCAGGUGGGACUACCCGCUGAACUUAA